GCGCCGGUAGUCUAGCCUGGCAGGACACUGGCUCCCCGGGCCAGGGACCCGGGUUCAAAUCCCGGCCGGCGCA
rnacentral:tRNA from 1 species